AGCGAACGCUGGCGGCAGGCCUAACACAUGCGAGUCGAACGGAUCCUUCGGGAUUAGUGGCGGACGGGUGAGUAACACGUGGGAACGUGCCCUUUGGUUCGGAACAACUCAGGGAAACUUGAGCUAAUACCGGAUGUGCCCUUCGGGGGAAAGAUUUAUCGCCAUUGGAGCGGCCCGCGUCUGAUUAGCUAGUUGGUGAGGUAACGGCCCACCAAGGCGACGAUCAGUAGCUGGUCUGAGAGGAUGAUCAGCCACACUGGGACUGAGACACGGCCCAGACUCCUACGGGAGGCAGCAGUGGGGAAUCUUGCGCAAUGGGCGAAAGUCUGACGCAGCCAUGCCGCGUGAAUGAUGAAGGUCUUAGGAUUGUAAAAUUCUUUCAGCGGGGACGAUAAUGACGGUACCCGCAGAAGAAGCUCCGGCUAACUUCGUG
rnacentral:rRNA from 1 species